rnacentral:rRNA from 1 species
UACAGAGGGGGCAAGCGUUGUCCGGAAUUACUGGGCGUACAGCGCGCGCAGGCGGUUGCCGACGUGCCGUGUGACAAACGGGGGCUCAACCCCCGAGGGCCACGGUAAACGGGGCGACUGGAGGAAGGGAGAGGGAUGUGGAAUGCCCGGUGGAGCGGUGAAAUGCGUAGAGAUCGGGGCGGAACACCGGUGGCGAAGGCGGCCAUCUG